rnacentral:rRNA from 1 species
UGAGUAACACGUGGGUAAUCUGCCCUGCACUCUGGGAUAAGCCUGGGAAACUGGGUCUAAUACUGGAUAUGACCUUUCUCCUUAUGGGGUUUGGUGGAAAGUUUUUCGGUGUAGGAUGAGCCCGCGGCCUAUCAGCUUGUUGGUGGGGUGAUGGCCUACCAAGGCGACGACGGGUAGCCGGCCUGAGAGGGUGAUCGGCCACAUUGGGACUGAGAUACGGCCCAG